UAUUUUAAUUAAAAACGGGGUGUUACAAUUGUCCUAUUAGAAACAGUUCUCGUCGAGCUGCCCUGGUGAGCCGCCUCUCCACCGACAGCGGCGUCCUUACGUAGUCGUUUUUUCCCAUGCAGAUUCGCUGGGUCCUGAUUGGGGACUUCCGUUAUUUUACCAGCAUUAAAGACCACAUCUUUUGGGAUGUUUAAAUUUGCCUUUACUGGUGCUGAAUUAGAGGGUGUAGAUUUGAUACCUUUCUCAAACCCACUCCCCUUAAAAUUCGCCCCAUGAUUAUUGCCAGCAAAUUUCCCUGAUCCUGUUUUAUUGGAAUUUUGGGACUUUCCCUGUUUUUUCUUGCCAGCUACCAUCCAUUGCCCAUGAGCGUUAUCAGGGCAUUUAAUUCCCUUCAGACUCGCCACCGAUUCUGUGGUUUCUAGGCCCACUGAUUGCCUCACCUCUUGCUGCAUAGCCGCAAUUCCUGGAGUCUGUUCCGCCCCCACCGUAGCAACCCUAGGGUUCUCUUCUCCAACCUUCUCAACAGUGGUGGAGGCCUUGGUUAGCGGCGCCGCCGUACAAUUGCGUGAAAGGUGACCGUAGCAGCCGCAGUUGGCACAUAGAAGGUGGAGGCCCUCAUACUCAACAUGGUACCAAGUAUUUCUCAGACCUACCACUCCCAGGACGGGCUCAUUCAAAUCUAUCUCGACACAGACGCAUGCAUAACGACCUCGUUGCAUGUCUGCAGUUGUCAUGUCCACCUUAAUUGGAGUGCCCACCGCCGAGGCCAGUGUGAGCAAUAUGCUCUCAUCAUAAAACUGGAACCCUAGACCUGGUAUGCGAAUCCAAACGAGGGUCUUGCUGAUUUUGGAAUUCGCCGCAACGAAGUCGGACGUCCAUGGUUGCACUGAUAAGUAAUGGUCAUAUAUCAUCCAGGGAGCCCCUGACAUCACCUUGCUCUUGUCCUCCUGUGACUCAAACUUCACCAGGAAGUAUCCAUGGUGAACAUCUCUGACUACAUAUCCGUUAGACAGCUUCCAUAAGGACUUGAGUCUCGCACAGAGCGCUCCAUAACUGAUAUGCUUCCCAAGGAGCUUGAUGACCAAGCAAUCCUCCCACGGCUUGCAGAUCUUGUCAUAGGCCUGUGGUACAAAAUCAAACAUGGGGAAGAAUUUAUUCCCAUCCACCUUCGUGACAGUCAUAACCCCGGCCUUCACAAGGUCGCGAAUCUCUUUCUUUUCUCGAGUUUUUUCUCCUCCAAGUACCAUCUCUUUGAACCUGCUUUUCCUGGUCUCCAUCUCUGUUGUCGUGUUCUCUGGUGGUUUCUCAACCGCUCGUUCCCGCGGUUCUGGAACACCGCCGCUGCCCUCUAUCUCCAUGCCCUCAGCCAUCACGGUAAUGUUUACUUGACACUUUGAAAAUGUUUUCAUUGAAAGUAUUUUCAAAAAUAAGCCUGAAAUUGGAAAUGAAAAAAUCUUGUUUUCAAUUGAAAACGCGUGGUGGCAGUAUUAUAAAUAAUAAAGUUCUAUGCUAAAAUCGUUUAUAAUUGUCAGUAACUCCCACAAGGUCAUAGGUUUGAAAUCAAGUUCAGCACUUUUCAUUAUCCGGUACUCCGGGUCCUAUUAUUAAUAUCUCUUGUCCAUCAGUUACUGUAAAAAUGCAUUAGACAAGGUCGUCCAUUUUGUUUUCAACCCAGAUCCAUAAAAUUCAACUUCUCAAACUCCUCCGUCAAAAAAAAAAUUCUCAAACUCCACCAAUCGUCCUUUCAAAAACAAAUUGCACCAAUUAUAAUUUGAAUAUAGUUCACAUGAUUAUAACUAUUAAAAAAUGUCAAAAUUACCUUCGUAUGUAAAAAAAUUAAAAUGAAACUAAUAAUUUGUUUAAAUUAUAUACAUUAUAGCAAUGAUAUUAAUAAUUACUUAUUUACUAAUUAGAUUCUUUCAAAAAAUAAAUAAGUUAGAUAUAUAGCUUACGUAUUUUUUUUAGAAUUGUCAGAUUAAACACAUAUCCAACAGUUUUAGUUUUUGAAAAUAGAAAAUAGAAAUUCAAACCAAACACAUUUUAUAUAUGGGACCCUUUCUAUAUUUCAAAAAUUUAAAAAUGAAAAUUGUUUUCAGAAAAUGAAAACUGAGAAUGAAAAUAGAAAAUAUUUUCUCAAACCAAACAUGCCCUUAGAAUUCAGAUUAGAUCUAACUUUAACCCAAAAAAUGAUUAGCUUGGGGAUGAUGAUUCUUCUACCAUUUAUAAAAACAUAUUCCAUCAUAUUUCGUCAAUGUGAAACUCAAGAGAUUCCCUCCCGCCCAUGUCUGCAUAUAUGGAGCGUAAAAUUUGCAGGACUAAACAUAUGUAGGUGACCUCUUUAUGAGAAGUUUCCAAUAAACGGAACUAGGAUGCAGUAUGAGAAUAUGGGUUAGGCAAGCAUCCCUAUUUUGCUAAGGUAUGUGGUCUUACUUGGUGAUGAGGAAUCUUGUUUUAAGAGGUUGGAGUUGGACCAUUAUUGCUUGUAAUAGUUAUUCAUGUAAGCUUCCGUCUUUCUCUGCAUGUGAGUGUGCUGUGCAAGUUCAUGUAAGAAUUAUUUCAAUCUUACCUGUCCUGAAGGAACUUUUUCUUUUUGUAAAGUAGUGGAGUGAGAAGAAUUGGGACAUGGGGUUCACUUUUUAAAAAAACUAUAACUAAUUGAAGUUUACUUUAACCCUUAUAUCAGAUAACAAUUUUUUACAUAUUCUUCAAGUGAAAUAUGCAAUUUUAAUUUGUAUAUUCCUUCAGACAAAUAUUCAUAAGGAUUCUGAUCUGAAGCACCUAAAGCAUCUUUUAGCAAAGAAAUUC
rnacentral:lncRNA from 1 species